UCUUCUGCACUUAUAAUCCCAAAAGACAUCUGAUGUCAUGAGAAAAUAAUAAAUGCAUAGAAAUUAAUGGAAGAAAAUAAGAGUCCACAUAGAAAUGGACUCUUCCAUUUCAAUGCCAAAAAUGGGGCGUCCCAUAUUUAUUUUGGCAUGGAGUUCCUUCCAAGAGAAGGAUUCAACUUCCUCUUCCAUGUCCCACAUCCC
rnacentral:lncRNA from 1 species